rnacentral:rRNA from 1 species
UACGGAGGUAGAGCACUGAAUGUCCUAGGGGGUAUUGCACCUACCGAAGACUAUCAAACUCCGAAUGCCGUCAUCUUAUACUUGGGCGUCAGACUGUGGGUGAUAAGAUUCAUAGUCGAAAGGGCAAUAGCCCAGAUCGUCAGCUAAGGUCCCUAAAUGUAAGUUAAGUGGUAAAGGAUGUGGGAUUGCACAGACAACCAGGAUGUUGGCUUAG